rnacentral:rRNA from 1 species
UACGUAGGGUGCGAGCGUUGUCCGGAAUUACUGGGCGUAAAGAGCUCGUAGGUGGUCUGUCGCGUUGUUCGUGAAAACUCACAGCUUAACUGUGGGCGUGCGGGCGAUACGGGCAGACUGGAGUACUGCAGGGGAGACUGGAAUUCCUGGUGUAGCGGUGGAAUGCGCAGAUAUCAGGAGGAACACCGGUGGCGAAGGCGGGUCUCUGGGCAGUAACUGACGCUGAGGAGCGAAAGCGUGGGGAGCAAACAGG